rnacentral:piRNA from 1 species
UCAGUCUUGAGGACCCGAAAG